GGGCGGUUAGCGCAGCGGUAGAGCACUACCUUGACAUGGUAGGGGUCACAGGUUCGAACCCUGUACCGCCCACCA
rnacentral:tRNA from 1 species